AUGAUUCCACAGGUGCCAUAUAAUGAUGCUGUGAACUAUGGACCUAAUGGUUAUGCUGGUGAUGGUUGUGGUAGGUACCAAAACAACAAGCCAGCGGCCACCAUAGCAGCAGCACCGCCACCGACACUUCCGGACGAUCUCAUCGAAGAGAUCCUCCUCCGCCUCCCUCCCGCUCGACGACCCGACAAGCCUCCUCUGUGCCUCCCUCGUCUGCAAGACCUGGAGCCACAUCGUCAAGGAGCAGCUCAAGCGCGCCCAGCUGCGGGAGGAGGGGAUCGCCCAACUCGAGAGCACCCUGCUCAAGGCGGCCCAGCUGGAGCUCUGAGUUGUGACCAUGUCCCUUGUGAGUUAAGCAAGCAAGGAGGUUGCAAUUUUGAUUUCUGA
rnacentral:rRNA from 1 species